AUUGAACGCUGGCGGCAGGCUUAACACAUGCAAGUCGAGCGAGCGGCGGACGGGUGAGUAAUGUCUGGGAAACUGCCUGAUGGAGGGGGAUAUCUACUGGAAACGGUCUCUAAUACCGCAUAACCUCGGAUGUGCCCAGAUGGGAUUAGCUAGUAGGUGGGGGAACGGCUCACCUAGGCGACGAUCCCUAGCUGGUCUGAGAGGAUGACCAGCCAAACUGGAACUGAGACACGGUCCAGACUCCUACGGGAGGCAGCAGUGGGGAAUAGUGCACAAUGGGCGCAAGCCUGAUGCAGCCAUGCCGCGUGUAUGAAGAAGGCCUUCGGGUUGUAAAGUACUUUCAGCGGGGAGGCGUUACCCGCAGAAGAAGCACCGGCUAACUCCGUGCCAGCAGCCGCGGUAAUUC
rnacentral:rRNA from 1 species